UACGUAGGGUGCAAGCGUUGUCCGGAAUUAUUGGGCGUAAAGAGCUCGUAGGCGGUCUGUCGCGUCUGCUGUGAAAACUCAGGGCUUAACCCUGAGCUUGCAGUGGGUACGGGCAGACUAGAGUGCGGUAGGGGAGACUGGAAUUCCUGGUGUAGCGGUGAAAUGCGCAGAUAUCAGGAGGAACACCGGCGGCGAAGGCGGCCCCCUGGCCCGCAACUGACGCUCAUGGUCGAAAGCGUGGGGAGCAAACAGG
rnacentral:rRNA from 1 species